AACGAACGCUGGCGGCAGGCCUAACACAUGCAAGUCGAACGCCCCGCAAGGGGAGUGGCAGACGGGUGAGUAACACGUGGGAACCUACCUUGUGGUACGGAACAACCAAGGGAAACUUUGGCUAAUACCGUAUGAGCCCGAGAGGGGAAAGAUUUAUCGCCAUAAGAUGGGCCCGCGUCGGAUUAGCUAGUUGGUGAGGUAAUGGCUCACCAAGGCGACGAUCCGUAGCUGGUCUGAGAGGAUGACCAGCCACACUGGGACUGAGACACGGCCCAGACUCCUACGGGAGGCAGCAGUGGAGAAUAUUGGACAAUGGGCGCAAGCCUGAUCCAGCCAUGCCGCGUGUGUGAUGAAGGCCUUAGGGUUGUAAAGCACUUUCGCCGAUGAAGAUAAUGACGGUAGUCGGAGAAGAAGCCCCGGCUAACUCCGUGCCAGCCGCCGCAGUAAAAC
rnacentral:rRNA from 1 species